rnacentral:rRNA from 1 species
GACGAACGCUGGCGGCGUGCCUAAUACAUGCAAGUCGAGCGAAUGGAAGGGAGCUUGCUCCCUGAAGUUAGCGGCGGACGGGUGAGUAACACGUGGGCAACCUGCCUGUAAGACUGGGAUAACUUCGGGAAACCGGAGCUAAUACCGGAUACGUUCUUUUCUCGCAUGAGGAAAGAUGGGAAGAUGGUUUCGGCUAUCACUUACAGAUGGGCCCGCGGCGCAUUAGCUAGUUGGUGGGGUAACGGCCCACCAAGGCGACGAUGCGUAGCCGACCUGAGAGGGUGAUCGGCCACACUGGGACUGAGACACGGCCCAGACUCCUACGGGAGGCAGCAGUAGGGAAUCUUCCGCAAUGGACGAAAGUCUGACGGAGCAACGCCGCGUGAGCGAAGAAGGCCUUCGGGUCGUAAAGCUCUGUUGUCAGGGAAGAACAAGUGCCAGAGUAACUGCUGGCACCUUGACGGUACCUGACCAGAAAGCCACGGCUAACUACGUGCCAGCCGCCGCAGUAAAAC